rnacentral:rRNA from 1 species
UACGAAAGGAGCAGGUGUUAUUCAGAUUAACUGGGCGUAAAGGGCACGUAGGUGGUUUGUCAAGUCAGGCGUGAAAGCCCCGGCUCAACCUGGGAACCGCGCUUGAGACUGGCACGCUCGAGUUCGGGAGAGGAUGGUGGAAUUCCCAGUGUAGAGGUGAAAUUCGUAGAUAUUGGGAAGAACACCGAUGGCGAAGGCAGCCAUCUGGACCGACACUGACGCUGAGGCGCGAAAGCGUGGGGAGCAAACAGG